rnacentral:rRNA from 1 species
CCUACGGGUGGCAACAGUGGGGAAUAUUGGGCAAUGGGCGCAAGCCUGACCCAGCAACGCCGCGUGAAGGAAGAAGGCUUUCGGGUUGUAAACUUCUUUUGACAGGGAAGAGCAGAAGACGGUACCUGUCGAAUAAGCCACGGCUAACUACGUGCCAGCAGCCGCGGUAAUACGUAGGUGGCAAGCGUUGUCCGGAUUUACUGGGUGUAAAGGGCGUGUAGCCGGGCUGACAAGUCAGAUGUGAAAUCCGCGGGCUCAACUCGCGAACUGCAUUUGAAACUGCUUCCCUUGAGUAUCGGAGAGGUAAUCGGAAUUCCUAGUGUAGCGGUGAAAUGCGUAGAUAUUAGGAAGAACACCAGUGGCGAAGGCGGAUUACUGGACGACAACUGACGGUGAGGCGCGAAAGCGUGGGGAGCAAACAGGAUUAGAUACCCUUGUAGUC